GACGAACGCUGGCGGCGUGCUUAACACAUGCAAGUCGAACGGUAAGGCCCUUCGGGGUACACGAGUGGCGAACGGGUGAGUAACACGUGGGUGAUCUGCCCUGCACUUCGGGAUAAGCCUGGGAAACUGGGUCUAAUACCGGAUAGGACCACUGCCUGCAUGGGUGGUGGUGGAAAGCUUUUGCGGUGUGGGAUGGGCCCGCGGCCUGUCAGCUUGUUGGUGGGGUGAUGGCGUACCAAGGCGACGACGGGUAGCCGGCCUGAGAGGGUGACCGGACACACUGGGACUGGGAUACGGCCCAGACUCCUACGGUAGGCAGCAGUGGGGAAUAUUGCACAAUGGGCGCAAGCCUGCUGCAGCGCCGCCGCGUGAGGGAUGACGGCCUUCGGGUUGUAAACCUCUUUCAGCACCGACGAAGCGCAAGUGACGGUAGGUGCAGAAGAAGGACCGGCCAACUACGUGCCAGCCGCCGCCGUAA
rnacentral:rRNA from 1 species